rnacentral:rRNA from 1 species
GCUUGUCUCAAAGAUUAAGCCAUGCAUGUCUAAGUAUAAGCAUUAUACAGUGAAACUGCGAAUGGCUCAUUAUAUCAGUUAUAGUUUAUUUGAUAGUCCCUACUAUUUGGAUAACCGUAGUAAUUCUAGAGCUAAUACAUGCGUCAAGCCUCGACUCACGGAGAGGUGUAUUUAUUAGAUACAACCAGCCCUUCGGGUUUUCGGUGAAUCAUAAUAACUGAGCGAACCGCAUGCGCAAGCGGCGGUGGUUCAUUCAAAUUUCUGCCCUAUCAACUUUCGACGGUAGGAUAGAGGCCUACUGUGGUGAUAACGGGUAACGAAGAAUAAGGGUUCGAUUUCGGAGAGGGAGCCUGAGAAACGGCUACCACAUCCAAGGAAGGCAGCAGG